UGACCCCUGCCGUGUUAGUGAUUGGAAGAUGUUUUUUGAUCCAACACACAUUUAAAGGGAGCUUUCCCUGAUUUUGGUGAGCAUGUUCUGCUUGUACAGAAAAGCCUAAAGAAAUUAUAAGGCGCCCACCUUGUUUUAUCGGUUCAAAGACCUCCCAACACGGCAUUGGGCGGGGGUCCU
rnacentral:other from 1 species